UACGGAGGGAGCUAGCGUUGUUCGGAAUUAUUGGGCGUAAAGCGCGUGUAGGCGGCUUUGCAAGUCGGGUGUGAAAGCCCUCAGCUUAACUGAGGAAGUGCGCCCGAAACUGCAGAGCUUGAGUACCGGAGAGGAUGGCGGAAUUCCCCAAGUAGAGGUGAAAUUCGUAGAUAUGGGGAGGAACACCGGUGGCGAAGGCGGCCAUCUGGACGGAUACUGACGCUGAGACGCGAAAGCGUGGGUAGCAAACAGG
rnacentral:rRNA from 1 species